rnacentral:ncRNA from 1 species
CAAAAGCUUGGUCCUGACUUUAUUAUCAUCUUUGAUUAAAUUUAUACAUGCAAGUCUCCGCAUCCCUGUGAGAAUGCCCUACCUGCCCGCCACGGGAAAGAGGAGCUGACAUAAGGCACAACCCUACCGUUAGCCCAAAACGUCUUGCUUAGCCACACCCCUAAGGGAAUACAGCAGUAAUAAACAUUAAGCAAUAAGUGCAAACUUGACUUAGUUAUAAUCAAGAGGGCCGGUUAAACUCGUGCCAGCCACCGCGGUUAUACGAGAGGCCCGAGUUGACAAACAUUCGGCGUAAAGCGUGGUUAAUAACUUAUUUACUAAAGCCAAACACCUUUAAGGCUGUUAUACGCCCCCAAAGGUAGGAAGACCCCUCACGAAAGUAGCUUUAAUUACUAUGAAUCCACGAAAGCUAGGAAACAAACUGGGAUUAGAUACCCCACUAUGCCUAGCCAUAAACACAAAGGGUGUUUUACCCACCCUUCGCCAGGGAACAACGAGCCCCAGCUUAAAACCCAAAGGACUUGGCGGUGCUUUAGACCCCCCUAGAGGAGCCUGUUCUAGAAUCGAUAUUCCCCGUUCAACCUCACCCCCUCUUGUUUUUCCCGUCUAUAUACCGCCGUCGUCAGCUUACCCUGUGAAGGGUUAAUAGUAAGCAAAAUUGGUAAAACCUAAAACGUCAGGUCAAGGUGUAGCAUACGGGGGGGGAAGAAAUGGGCUACAUUUGCUGCCCCAGCAAAAACGGACGUUGCACUGAAAUAAGCAUCUGAAGGAGGAUUUAGCAGUAAGAGGGGAAUAGAGCGCCCCCCUGAAAAUGGCCCUGAAGCGCGCACACACCGCCCGUCACUCUCCCCGAAACCUAAAAAAGAUAAAUAAUGAAACAACUAAAUAAAGGGGAGGCAAGUCGUAACAUGGUAAGUGUACCGGAAGGUGUACUUGGAAAACCC